rnacentral:rRNA from 1 species
GCUCAGGAUGAACGCUGGCGGCGUGCUUAACACAUGCAAGUCGAACGGUGAAGCCCCGCUUGCGGGGUGGAUCAGUGGCGAACGGGUGAGUAACACGUGAGCAACCUGCCCCUGACUCUGGGAUAAGCGCUGGAAACGGCGUCUAAUACUGGAUACGAACCGCGAAGGCAUCUUCAGUGGUUGGAAAGAUUUUUUGGUUGGGGAUGGGCUCGCGGCCUAUCAGCUUGUUGGUGAGGUAAUGGCUCACCAAGGCGUCGACGGGUAGCCGGCCUGAGAGGGUGACCGGCCACACUGGGACUGAGACACGGCCCAGACUCCUACGGGAGGCAGCAGUGGGGAAUAUUGCACAAUGGGCGGAAGCCUGAUGCAGCAACGCCGCGUGAGGGAUGACGGCCUUCGGGUUGUAAACCUCUUUUAGCAAGGAAGAAGCGUGAGUGACGGUACUUGCAGAAAAAGCGCCGGCUAACUACGUGCCAGCAGCCGCGGUAAUACGUAGGGCGCAAGCGUUAUCCGGAAUUAUUGGGCGUAAAGAGCUCGUAGGCGGUUUGUCGCGUCUGCUGUGAAAUCCCGAGGCUCAACCUCGGGCCUGCAGUGGGUACGGGCAGACUAGAGUGCGGUAGGGGAGAUUGGAAUUCCUGGUGUAGCGGUGGAAUGCGCAGAUAUCAGGAGGAACACCGAUGGCGAAGGCAGAUCUCUGGGCCGUAACUGACGCUGAGGAGCGAAAGGGUGGGGAGCAAACAGGCUUAGAUACCCUGGUAGUCCACCCCGUAAACGUUGGGAACUAGUUGUGGGGUCCUUUCCACGGAUUCCGUGACGCAGCUAACGCAUUAA